CACUGGUCUAGUAUAUUGGUCAAUGUUAAUUUGUCAUAUGAUUGAAAGUUGUAUGCCGUUUGUCGCUACUUGCAUAUUGUUUAUCAUAUUGUAUAUUUAAACUGCCUUCUGCGCAGCCACCGCCUACACCCUCCCUGGGGUUCGGGCCCUGGCUGCGCGAAAUUAGGGGAUAAAAACCCACAUUUCAAACCUUAUUACGAGUUAGCAUAAGAAAACACAAGC